rnacentral:rRNA from 1 species
CACGUAGGGGGCGAGCGUUGUCCGGAUUUAUUGGGCGUAAAGAGCUCGUAGGCGGUUCGGUAAGUCGGGUGUGAAACCUCCAGGCUCAACCUGGAGUCGCCACUCGAUACUGCUGUGACUAGAGUCCGGUAGGGGAGCGUGGAAUUCCCGGUGUAGCGGUGAAAUGCGCAGAUAUCAGGAGGAACACCGGUGGCGAAGGCGGGUCUCUGGGCCGUAACUGACGCUGAGGAGCGAAAGCAUGGGGAGCGAACAGG